rnacentral:other from 1 species
GUUAUCCUGAAGUGUGCGUUACACCUUUGGUUUUGAACCUACACUUAUACUUUGGGAGUCCGGAUGUCCUCCAUUCGAUGUCAUGCCGCCUUUGAGUGGAAGACAGAAAACUGGAGGCAGGGCACCCACCUAGCUUCUGCUAGGCGUCAAAAAGAAGGGAACGGCACAUUCGGGAUUAUA